UACACACACACACAUGCUGGGGUAGGAACAAAUGAAACAUGGGCCUCCUGAAUUGGUGGCUCAUCCCUUUUUCAUGGUUUCCUUUGAGAUUUGAACUGGAUUUCCUUCCUGUGCAUUUGGUAGAGUGGAGGCUCCUGAGUGAAGCCAGGACAGAAGGAGAUGAGGGCCAGUGAGGGCCUAGUCUUUUGAGCAUGCCCAGUGUAUUCUGCCUGCUGCCAACCCAUGGUGAAGGGGGAGGUCUUGGUGAGCUUACUUCCAGACUCUCUGAAGACAUUUCCCACGAAUAAAAUCUCUGCCAACUUGCCAUUCUGACUGACACCCCCCGAAAUGAGAUGGUUGGAAGUGACUUGAAGCUGAAACCAAGGAAGGGGAAGCCAGGAAGGAGAACUAAAGGCUGAAAUUCCCUGUGAAGGAGUUACAGGAGGACAUGGACAUAGUUGCAAAGGAUGAAGACACCUGCAUGGAUUUCAAUCUUACCAUUGGAGGUAGUAUCUAUGUUGAU